GAUGAAGAACGCAGUGAAAUGCGAUAAGUAAUGUGAAUUGCAGAAUUCAGUGAAUCAUCGAAUCUUUGAACGCACAUUGCGCCCGCCGGUAUUCUGGCGGGCAUGCCUGUCCGAGCGUCAUUUCAACCCCUCGAGCCCCCGGGCCCGGUGUUGGGGAACGACCAGCAGCCCUCCGGGGCGGUCGUCCCUGAAAUACAGUGGCGGUCACGUCGCGGACCCUCUGCGUAGUAGCAACACCUCGCACUGGAGAGCGGCGCGCCCACGCCCCGAAACACUUCUUUCACAGGUUGACCUCGGAUCAGGUAGGAAUACCCGCUGAACUUAAGCAUAUCAAUAAGCGGAGGA
rnacentral:misc_RNA from 1 species